rnacentral:rRNA from 1 species
GGCUCAGGACGAACGCUGGCGGCGUGCUUAACACAUGCAAGUCGAGCGGUAAGGCUCCUUCGGGAGUACACGAGCGGCGAACGGGUGAGUAACACGUGAGCAAUCUGCCCUUCACUUUGGGAUAACUACCGGAAACGGUGGCUAAUACCGAAUACGACAACUCCAGGCAUCUGGUGGUUGUGGAAAGUUCUGGCGGUGAAGGAUGAGCUCGCGGCCUAUCAGCUUGUUGGUGAGGUAAUGUCUCACCAAGGCUUCGACGGGUAGCCGGCCUGAGAGGGUGACCGGCCACACUGGGACUGAGACACGGCCCAGACUCCUACGGGAGGCAGCAGUGGGGAAUAUUGGACAAUGGGCGAAAGCCUGAUCCAGCAACGCCGCGUGAGGGAUGACGGCCUUCGGGUUGUAAACCUCUUUCAGCAGGGACGAAGCGAAAGUGACGGUACCUGCAGAAGAAGCACCGGCCAACUACGUGCCAGCAGCCGCGGUAAUACGUAGGGUGCGAGCGUUGUCCGGAAUUAUUGGGCGUAAAGGGCUCGUAGGCGGUUUGUCACGUCGGGAGUGAAAACCAGGUGCUUAACACCUGGCGUGCUUCCGAUACGGGCAGACUAGAGGUAUGCAGGGGAGAACGGAAUUCCUGGUGUAGCGGUGAAAUGCGCAGAUAUCAGGAGGAACACCGGUGGCGAAGGCGGUUCUCUGGGCAUUACCUGACGCUGAGGAGCGAAAGUGUGAGGAGCGAACAGGAUUAGAUACC